rnacentral:rRNA from 1 species
GAUGAACGCUGGCGGCGUGCCUAAUACAUGCAAGUCGAGCGAACGGACGAGAAGCUUGCUUCUCUGAUGUUAGCGGCGGACGGGUGAGUAACACGUGGAUAACCUACCUAUAAGACUGGGAUAACUUCGGGAAACCGGAGCUAAUACCGGAUAAUAUUUUGAACCGCAUGGUUCAAAAGUGAAAGACGGUCUUGCUGUCACUUAUAGAUGGAUCCGCGCUGCAUUAGCUAGUUGGUAAGGUAACGGCUUACCAAGGCAACGAUGCAUAGCCGACCUGAGAGGGUGAUCGGCCACACUGGAACUGAGACACGGUCCCGACUCCUACGGGAGGCAGCAGUAGGGAAUCUUCCGCAAUGGGCGAAAGCCUGACGGAGCAACACCGCGUGAGUGAUGAAGGUCUUCGGAUCGUAAAACUCUGUUAUUAGGGAAGAACAUAUGUGUAAGUAACUGUGCACAUCUUGACGGUACCUAAUCAGAAAGCCACGGCUAACUACGUGCCAGCAGCCGCGGUAAUACGUAGGUGGCAAGCGUUAUCCGGAAUUAUUGGGCGUAAAGCGCGCGUAGGCGGUUUUUUAAGUCUGAUGUGAAAGCCCACGGCUCAACCGUGGAGGGUCAUUGGAAACUGGAAAACUUGAGUGCAGAAGAGGAAAGUGGAAUUCCAUGUGUAGCGGUGAAAUGCGCAGAGAUAUGGAGGAACACCAGUGGCGAAGGCGACUUUCUGGUCUGUAACUGACGCUGAUGUGCGAAAGCGUGGGGAUCAAACAGG